rnacentral:rRNA from 1 species
UGGGGAAUCUUGCACAAUGGGGGCAACCCUGAUGCAGCGACGCCGCGUGAGCGAUGAAGCCCUUCGGGGUGUAAAGCUCUUUCGGCUGGAACGAUAAUGACGGUACCAGCAGAAGAAGCUGCGGCUAACUACGUGCCAGCAGCCGCGGUAAUACGUAGGCAGCGAGCGUUGUUCGGAGUUACUGGGCGUAAAGAGUGCGUAGGCGGUGGACUAAGUCUGGUGUGAAAUCUCCCGGCUCAACUGGGAGGGUGCGCUAGAAACUGGUCUGCUGGAGUGUGGGAGAGGUAAGCGGAAUUCCUGGUGUAGCGGUGAAAUGCGUAGAUAUCAGGAGGAACACCUGCGGUGUAGACGGCUUACUGGACCAUGACUGACGCUGAGGCACGAAAGCGUGGGUAGCAAAC